UACGUAGGGGGCAAGCGUUGUCCGGAAUCAUUGGGCGUAAAGAGCGUGUAGGCGGCCCGGUAAGUCCGCUGUGAAAGUCGGGGGCUCAACCCUCGAAUGCCGGUGGAUACUGUCGGGCUAGAGUGCGGAAGAGGCAAGUGGAAUUCCCGGUGUAGCGGUGAAAUGCGUAGAUAUCUGGAGGAACACCGGUGGCGAAGGCGGCAUCCUGGACCAACACUGACGCUGAGGAGCGAAAGCCAGGGGAGCAAACGGG
rnacentral:rRNA from 1 species